rnacentral:lncRNA from 1 species
GUCAUCCUUAUUUUCUUUUUCCAAUUUUUUCUUCUUUUUCUACUUUUUUUCUUUUUCUAUUUUCUGUCAAAUUUUGAAUGAAAUAUCACAACUAUAAUUAUUCAACCCCACACAACUCCAAACAAGAUUUUUUCAAUCCUUUGAAUAGGAUGACAACAUUGUUUUUCACUUUUAGGCUUGUAAUGAGUUAUAAAUAAUAAAUG